GUGUGGGUGACGUGGAAGAUCUGCACGUGUGUAAUGGCUCCAUGACAUGACUUGAUAAAUUUCUUGAUAAAAGACUCCUUAUGAUCCUCUCAGCUAUUUAUACUCUCAGCUAACCCUUAUUCCUCACACAUACUCGUGAGCCAUUACACACGUGCAGAUCUUCCACGUCACCAACAC
rnacentral:pre_miRNA from 1 species